UACGAAGGGGGCUAGCGUUGUUCGGAAUCACUGGGCGUAAAGGGCGCGUAGGCGGCUUAUAAGUCGGGGGUGAAAGCCUGUGGCUCAACCACAGAAUUGCCUUCGAUACUGUAGAGCUUGAGACCGGAAGAGGUAAGUGGAACUGCGAGUGUAGAGGUGAAAUUCGUAGAUAUUCGCAAGAACACCAGUGGCGAAGGCGGCUUACUGG
rnacentral:rRNA from 1 species